rnacentral:rRNA from 1 species
AUUAAUAAGCGGAGGAAAAGAAACUAACUAGGAUUCCCUCAGUAACGGCGAGUGAAGCGGGAAGAGCCCAGCGCCGAAUCCCACGCUGCAAGCGGCGGCGGGAACUGUGGCGUUUGGGACGGCCAUCGGGGAUCGACCGGGGGUCCGAGUCCUCCUGAUCGGGGCCUUACCCAGAGCGGGUGUCAGGCCUCUACGGCGCUCGGCCGGUCCUCUUAGGUCGUCCUGGGAGUCGGGUUGUUUGAGAAUGCAGCCCAAAGCGGGUGGUAAACUCCAUCUAAGGCUAAAUACAGACACGAGUCCGAUAGCGCACAAGUACCGUGAGGGAAAGUU